CAGCCACAGCCACAGCAAUGUGGGAUCCAAGCCACGUCUGUGACCUACACCACAGCCCACGGCAACGCUGGAUCCUCAACCCAUUGAGCGAGGCCAGGGAUCGAACCUGCCUCUUCAGGGUUACCAGUCAGGUUCAUUUCCACUGAGCCACGACAGGAACUCCCCCUCUGCUCAUUGACACCUCACUCGAGGCCCUUGGAACAUGCUUGUCCAUGUCCAUGAAGAAGAGUAUUGAACUUAGAAACCUGGGUUCAUCCUGGCACAGCCACUGGCUAUCUCUAUGACAUUGGGCACAUCCUCUAACUGCCUUGGGCUUCAGUGUCCUUACCUGGUAAGGACUCCUUACCAGGAGUCGUAAGGGUUACCUGACAGCGUACACAGAAAUCAACUUUGCCAAUGGAAAUACAAUCACAUUUCUCGCUUUCUGCUACCUUUCCUACUUGUCUCAGAGCUCUUGGAGGGAAGGACCGUGUCCUCAUCAUUUUUUUAUGCUACAAUUACUACUAUUGCAUUACCAUUCGCUCGUCAUCAUUAACAUAUUGCCAAUAAUAGUUAAUGUGUGUGGAGCAUGUAGAAUCAUGUCAGGCACCUUUCUAAGUACUCGAUAUGGAUUAAUUAAUUCUUCCAAUAACCCUAAGAGGUCCUGUAACCCUAAGAGGUCCUGUUAUUAGCCUACUUUAUGGAGAAAACUAUGUAUUUCUCAGAGCCUCCAAAGAAUGAGCCAAUGAAUGAAGGACUGAAUGAGACAGAAACUGCUAGCAACACCUACCAGGUGAUUAUUUUUCUCUCUUGCUUCUCUGCCCAAACUUGUCUUUCUUUUGAUCCCCUGAGGCAAAUGCAAAAUUAGGAAAAAGUCUUGCGUCAACUGAGACUGUGAAUGAUGAGUGGUCUCCUUGGGUCUUCAUUUAGGUCGGCUUCUCAUGAGGUGAGUGCCAGGAGGACACAGACUGUGCCUGUCUUGUUCUCUGCUGUUGCCACAGGGCCUGGAACAAUGUCUCGUGAUCAGUCCAUGUUCAUUGAAUAGGCAGUACUACGAGAUGCUCUACAACACGGCCGAUGAGCUCCUGAACCUGGUGGUGGACCAGGGCGUGAAGUACACGGAGCUGGAGUACAUCCACGCCCUGACCUUGCUGCACCGCAGCCAGACGGGGGUGGGAGACCAGACCACCCAGAACAUGCGGCUUCAGCGGCUCAAGGAGAUCAUCUGCGAGCAGGCGGCCAUCAAGCAAGCCACCAAGGAUAAGAAGAUAACUACAGUGUAACCGCCGCCCCGUGGAAGGGGGACAGGGGCACGGCUUGUUUUUGUCUCCUUAGUCAUACUCCUUUCUGGCUGUGUUAUUGGGUGUAGUCUGAGCUGACUUAGUUUUCUCGACACGGAUGCUCAAGUGGAGAGAAGGUAGAAGGAUUUUUUUUUUUUUUUUUCCGCUUUGGUUUUGGCUUUUCAUAUAAACUCUCAAGGGAAUUUGCAGUACAGAAUGUUGGGAUCGACCGUUUAUUGGAAUGCCGUCCAUUGCAAAGGGUCCGGGGGUGGGAUGGGAAGGAAGGUUGUAUGACAUUGGACUCAGAACAAGAUGCAUGCACGAUUACUAAUGCCCAGCCAUUUCGGAUAAGUAUAGAUUGUUGCCUAUGUAAACCUCUCAAUAGGGUUCUAUUACAUAAACAGUAGGGUUUUUAUGCUCUUGACCUUGUCCAUUGACAGUUCAGUGAAGCAAGUGCAUGUGCAUUGCUUUCUGUCACCAGGGCCCAUGGCUUCUCAGCUGGCGGUAGUUUUCAGCAAAUUUCCCCUUUGGGGCUGGGGGGAGGAAGUCCUCUUAUGUCAGACCUUGGGAGAGUCUUGUAUGCAGUAGCCUGGACACAGCUUAUGGAUUGGUUUGAUGCCUUUUUGUUUUUAUUUCUACUGUCUCAAAACUGAGAACCAGGAAAUGAAUGAUGAAAAUGCAAGAACAAAAGGUAAUUCAACCCUCUUCCUGAUUUUUUCCUCUACUCUCCAAGAGAAAAUGAUUGUUAGAGAAUUUUUAAUCUCACUGGAAAGAUUGUCUGGGUGUGACUGGUUCUUAAAUGCUCACCCUCCUUAUAAGCCCCAGGGUCUUUUUUUCUUUUUUUUUUCUUUUUGUCUGUUUCUUUCUUGCAUGUGUGUGUGUACUUUUUUUUUUUUAACAUAUUUGUUGAAUUAACAUAUAGUUGAUUUACAGUGUUGUACCAAUUUCACCCAAGGUCUUUCUCACCUUAGAAGGUACCCAAACUGGGUGCAGGGAAGGUAAAACCACCACGAUAUCCUUCCUCUGUGCAGCCACCAGCUGAGGAUGUUUCUGAGGUAUACUGGGCUGGCGUGGGAGCACGCUGCUCCUGGCACAUUUGCCUUCCCCACUGACCCCACAUCUCCAAGCCUUCUUGCUGCCUCUGGCUGUCAUAUCACAGAAGAAAGCAAUGCACUGACUGGGACACAGCUUGCAAACACAGGCAAGGGAGAGCUGAAAGGACUCGGACCAGAUGAGGUCAUGCCUCAUGCUCUGAUGGUCCAGAAUUUCGCACCUGUUUGUUCAACUUAGGUCUUGGUGGGAAAAGCAGAAAAUUAAAAAAUGUUUCGAGAAGCGUAGGUGUCGUGUAUUGUUUUUCUUGUGUUUAUUCAGCAAACAUUCCCUGAGAGCCUUACCCAAUGCUGCUGGACGUGGGAGCAGAAAUAAGAUAAUGAGAACCCUCUUUCCCCCUACAUCGAAGACAGCAUGGGAUCUGGACUCUGACCCAGAUCCCAAGAGGUGUGCACUUGGGGCUGGGUUGGAAAUCAAGCCAGUGGGGUAGCUGUGUAGGCAGCUGGAGGACAGUCUUCCAGGGGGUUCUGGAAGGAAUGUUGUAAAUCUAUGUGGCGUCAGAGGCCCAGGUGGGAAGAAGCUGAAUCUGUGUGGGAGACCAUCAUGGAAAAAUGUCCUAAGCAGCAUUGCUGGAGGUGAUCUCCCUGGAAGUGGGGGCGGGAGGCGGGAGACAGGGGGAGGUCAGUGCUGAUCGCCGUGGCCGUGGCCUGUGCCCAGAGCUUCCGUGCCUUGCCCCUGCCCUCUUCUGUCCUCCCUAGAAAAACAACCUUGGAGUGGUGACAGGGAGGCCAGAAGAGCCAGGGGUGGGCUGGGGGAAUUUAUAGGAGCAUUUUAUUGGCUCUGGAAAGGGAUGUGGGUUUUGACAGUCAAAGGCCAAGAUCACUGAGAACCAGCGGACAAAUGGUGAACAUGCUGCUUCAAGAGAUCAUUUCGGAAAGUAGACUCCCCGCUUUGCUUAUAGUAAUGACGGGAUUGAAAAAUGGUGAUUCUGCACAGAAAAAACAAUCUAGAGUUCUUUUUCCAAGACCUUCAAGGCCCACAUUUCUAUGCAAGAUGGUACAUCCGUCAUUAUUCGCCAACUGAUCAAGAAUAGCCAUUGCCACAGUCCGUGGGUGGUCAGGUGGAUGGAGAUGGCACAGCCACCUCAGGACCUGCCUUCCCUGGGGACACAGUGAGGAUUUCUUCUUGUUAUGGUCCUAGUUUGGGGAUAUUCUGUGUGACUGCUUGUGUGCUGCUCGAAGCCGUGACCGGAAAUCGCUAGAGAGCGCCAGACCCCCCGCGGGUGGAGGCCAGCAUGUGCUCACACCGAUAUGUAACCACAGGAGUUCAUUUCCAGCCAUGAAGACCACUCCCCAAAGGUCCUGUUGCAGCUUAAAGGGUCAGGAAAAUAGGCCUCCCCAGAAAGGGCACUAAAACAAAGCAAACUCUUGUCUUUCUCUCCUACGAGGUGACAAGGGGGAUCAACAGGUGUAAAACACGACUGUCACAGCACCACGGAGAAGGCGCACGAGGAAGCGUCCUGAGGUGGACAACAGACAGGAGCAGGAGGAGGGAGGACUGUGGGGCGAGGUCCAGCCUGGUCAUCAGAGAACUAGCUCCCCGAGCUCCAGCAACCGAGAGAGCUCACUUCCCUCUGUGUCACUGUCAUCUACUCUCUGGUAAAGUACCACACGUUGUCCCAUUCUGUACUCACAGCAACCGUGUCACCCAUACUACUUUCUUUCCUUGUAUAUACAGGGGAUCAGAAAAUGCUAAUGGCGUCUCUCCCAACUUAGCACCCCUUGGAAUAAACUCCGCGAAGCAGAGGUACUCAUUCAAAGGAUCGGAUCCAGAGCUUGAGAGGUUUUUGUAAAUCAAGUUGUGUUCCCAGAACUGCUGAUUGUGGUUUCUUCUUCUGCAGGGUUUUGUUACUUUUAAUUCUCUUAUUAUCCCUUGUCACUGGACCUCUUAAUUUAUAAAUAGUAUUCUGAUACUGUGCCCUUUCACCCCAGGAGCCAUUCAUUGAUACCUGUGCUAUGGAUGCAGUUUCUCUCAGGGACGUUCACCCUAGGACCGUGCUUUUAUGCCACAUUUACAAUGGGGCUUUUUAAUCUUAUUGCCCGAGUGGAACGUUUCCUUCCCGCAUACGAUUACAUCUCUGCUGAUUCACAAGGAGCAAGGUUAUAUGUUCCUCAUGCAGCCCUUGGCCGAAGAAGACCUGCUUCCAGGCUAUGAAAGACAAGAUCAUGUUGGAGUGGCCAGGUCAGCUCAAGUUCUGACCUGAGGAUCAACCCUAGGAUCAGACCUAAGCUCCCACAGUCCAUACCCUUGAGACAAUCAGUCAUGAAGAAUCUGGUGGGGACCCCCCCCCACUUGGAAUUACUGCCCUCUGUAGAGUGACCUCGUUCACAGACCCCCCAGCCUCUCUCCAGAACCUCUCCUUCUUGGCGGAUGCUUUCUCAGCCAGUCAUUAUUUAUGUUUCAGAUAGCUUGAGAAGAAAACCACAAAUACAGCCAAGUUGAAUUGGCAACCAAAGCCUGAUCAUUCUUACUGUCAGGUCAUAUCCAGGAAUGUCUUAGCACCAAGGUAUCCAUUGUCAGUCCAAGAGAUAUAAUUGCCUGUCAUGGCAGUAACAAAUCCUGACACGGAUUCAUGCAAUGGCCAACAAAAGAGACAGUCCCUUGUGACGAGGUGCUGGUACUUCCACUCUGAUGAAGAGUCACGCAACUUCCACUCCGGUCUUGUCCUCUCCAGAGCCCAGAUUACCUAAGGCUACCCUUCAUUAAGGAUUGAGAACUGAAAUCUUCAGCCCAACCCUCCGCUACUCUUUUUGCCUUUCUUGUAAGCCCAGGACUGUAUCUCAUUGUUUGCUGUUCCCUCCUUAACUAGCAAAGUACCUGGAAGUUGAUGGAACAAAUGGAUUCCUGCCUCAGUUCCUAGGAAUGUACCAAGGCCAUUUGCAUUCAGCAGUCUUGCCCUGAGAUAGCGCUGUGGCUGGUUCCCCAGGACCAGGGCACAGAUAUUUCACAGUCAACAGCGGGGGGUUACCAGGGUUUCACACCAAGCCCUCCAUUGGAGGCAGACAUGAUGAGGAGACCAGCAAAGUGGCGGUCCUUCUGGCAGGAUGUGAAAACAAGAAGCGAACUGAUCAACACAAUUUUGCUUGGAAAGCAAAGCAUGUGCAGUAAUACGCACACCUGGGCGCAGCUGUCUUAAUGUGGCAGGGAUGCACAACAAACCGGGCAUCAUUUGGAGGGAGGGUAAUGAGGGACCAAGAGCAAGAAAACAAAGGAUGACUGCGCUCCGCGAAGGUCUCGACUCCCUUCUAAUUAGGCACAGUUGUUCUACAAAGUACGUAAUUAAUAAGCGUGUGACCAGAUGCAAAGUACAGCGGCGGCUCUUCCGGCGCUGGACGUGGUGAUGAAGUGUGCACAGCUGGAGGUAGUUGUUCUAAUUUGGCGGAGGCAGAAGGCCCGCCUGGAGUUUUGAGGAGGUGCAGCGAGAGCCGUACACCUGAAAGCAGCUCAUCCUAUUCCGACUGGGCCGGGGUGUAAUGAGAUGGAGCUAAUUAUCAGGAGUGUAAUGAGAUGCCAAAGCCCCUGGAGUUGAGCUGGAAAUUUCAAAGUGAGCUAAGCUGCAAACCCAAGAGAAGAAUUUCCACCGAUGGAGCCGGGUGUGAGUAGGAGGAAGUGUGCCUGAUUGAAAGACCUGCCUUCACGCCCCUGAGCCGAAGACUUCUGUCUGAAACUGCACAGGAUGCCAGGACCUUCCCCCACCUGGAGCAGGAGUCCCUGGGAACCUGAGAACACCAUGACCUGGAAAAGCUGCACAUGGAUUUCUUUUAAUGUGUAUAUGGUUUAUUUAUGUCCACACAACUGAAAAGAAAUCAAGUCAGGUGCUGUCGCGUGAGUGUCGUGGCCAUUAUAUUCCAUCUCAUUUAGAAAUGUGGCCUCAGAUUGCUGACUUUGCAAAUAGAUACUCCAGGAGGAGAAAAAUUAGCAACCUCCUCAUCUCAAACUUCUUUCAUUACCUACCAGCCACAUUUUCUUUCACGAGGAUUUAUUUACCGCCAGAGAGCAGGAAACCCCUUAAUACCUGUUUUCUGUUCACGGUUUUUAUUUUACAGUUGCUGUUAUUUUAGACACCAUUUAUUGAACACUGAAUAUGUGUGAGAUGCUGUGCUAAAUGCUUUACCAUAGACUUCCAUUUAAUCCACAUGCUGGAGUUCCUCCCAUGGCUCAGCAGUUAACGAAUCUGACUAGCAUCCAUGAGGACCCAGGUUCGAUCCCUGCCCUUGCUCCAUGGGUUAAGGAUCUGGCGUGGCCGUGAGCUGUGGUGUGGGUGACAGCCUCUGUGCGGAUCCUGCAUUACUGUGGCUGUGGCAUAGUCCGACAGCUGUAGCUCCCAUUCAACCCCUAGCCUGGAACCUCCGC
rnacentral:lncRNA from 1 species